CAACACAUAUCUUCUGUAUCCUGCAGGUAACAAGUCUGGUUUUAAAGCCAGUGGCCAGUGGGAACAAUUGACUGAACACUUCUUCCAAAACUCCAUGAAAGCCACCAGCCCUAUCCAUGGAGAAGGAGAGAGCAGACAUGCCCUUCCAGACCUAUUGAUUACAGCUGAUUGAUACUUGUAAGAUCUCUUCUGAGACAUAACACUGUUUUGGUCAUCCACAUAUAUGUCUGGAAGCUGUGAAUUGUCUGAAUUUUCUGCACUGUAAAUGAAUACAUUCAUAAUUAUCAAUGUACAUGAUGUAUUAUCUUCACAUUUGCUUUUUCCUAUGCUGACUUUUGGGAAAAAAAAAAAAAAAAAUCUAACAAGGAAUUAUCUGACAAAAGUUGCACUACUAAAAUGAAAGAGUUUAGUUUCCCAAGAUCUUACACUGAACGCCUACCACAUAGACUCAUUGGGAUCAAAGUAUCAGGAGUGAAAUCCUUUCUUCUAAAACUUUACAUGAUUUAUUUUUCUAAUGCUAUGAAUGCAAAUAAGAUCUAAAACACUUGUUGAAAUAAGCUCUGAUGAAACGGAUCUCUGUACAGAAGUAGAAAAGGUGACUGGAGGUAAGUGAUAUUUUGGAAUCGAACAGAAUAUUCUUUUGUAUGACUUUUCAGUUAUUCUUAAUAUUUUUACAGUCUUCUAGAAAGAGUCAAUGGUUUUCAGAAAGCAUAAGGUAAGUGUAAAAACCCUUUGAAAUGUGCCAGAGUUGCUUACACAGACAUGAAGCUGUUGAUUCUGAUGGAGAUGGCAACUGAUGAGAAAAUUAACGCACUGUUUAAAAGUAUCUCUGAAAAGUAAAAAGUGGUCUGUUCUUUUGAAAAGGUCUUUACCUUAAGGGAGUAUAAGUACUCCAAAAAUGCACAGAUUCUUUACCAUUUUUCAGUAAGUAUAAAAAUGUCUUAAUACUGAAAAUAAGUUCAAUUCAAAACAAAAUGAAACAAUAAAACAAACAAACAAACAAACAAAAAAACACAUUUAUUUUGAACCUUUUUCAGAAGCUCAAAUUGUUACUGACAGACUGACUUUUUAUUUAUUUGUUUUGUUUUAAAGAACAAACUGAACAUAGAAAAAAAAUGCACGUCAGGAGAAGCUGAAGCAGAAUGUUUUUACUCUUUCAUUAAUCUUUCCCAUUUGAGUAAUUAUCUAAACUUAUGGUAGCUUAUUUACUCUCUCCAUAUGGGUUAUCACAGUCUUAUGUGUAAAGGAAGGGUAACAGUUGCACUUGGGAUUUAUGAACAUGAAAUACAGAAUUUCUGAGUUGAAAAUAUGUUUCCAACUUUAUAUCAGUAAAGUUCAGGAAGGACAGUGAUAAACGUGUACUUGAAGAACAAUAAGAUCAUUACCAGGGCUGGUGGUUUUACUGUGCUGGCCUGCUGAACUCUGAGCGGUGCAGGGGCAUGGAGAAUGGGGUCUGUGGUCAGUCCCUGAUGCUUUGUCUCUGCUAUUCCUUCACAGUCACUCUCUGCCCCUGCUCCACGUGGGGUCCCUCUCACGGGAUGUUGUCCUUCCUAAACUGAUCCUGCGUGGGCUUCCCACAGGCAGCAGCUCUUCAAGAACUGCUCCCAUAUGGGAGAUGAGAAAUUCACAGAUGGAAGUACCAACAACCUCUGAUAUGAAGUACUGGAAACCAGUUACAAUGUAUUUCUGAGGGAGCCCAAUAAAAAAAAAAAAAAUUAAUAUAACUAACUGGAGAAAACAUGCUAGCUUGAACCUAAUUUAGGAAUAAAUAAUAAAGAAAUACAUAAAUAAAAUAGAUAAUAAGAUAGUUACCAAAACCAAUAUUAACAUCUAGAGAAGAAUGGUUUUCAGCAGAGAUCAAGAGAUCUCUCAUGCAAAUACAUUCUGUCUGUCUCUAAUAUAGGCAAAGGAAAAAAGAAGUUAAAGACAAAAAUUACUGACAGCUUGCAUUUAAGUAAUAUAGGUAGAAAUAAAGAACCUUAGAACAAGAAAAACAUCACUGGUAGUUCAUUUUGAGAGUGACUUGUUUACCUCAGCAUUUCAUUAUCUCCAAGUAUUCUUUUCUUUAGAAAACAACUGUGUGCGUCUUUUAACAUCCAUGCAUUUACAGAUAGCACAUUCAUGUAAUACUGGAACAGGUUAUUUUUCUCACCCUAUAUACUGUAUAUACUUAUCAUAUAUACUGCAUAUUUAUUUGCAUUAUAAAUAAACCUUGACUAUAAGCCAACAUACAAACUAAUGCUGGUUUUCAAAAUAAUUAGUUAUUCCAUGUUGUGAGGACAUAGAUAGCAUUGUUUUAGGAUUGUACUUUAAAAACUGUAUUUACUUCCUUGGGAAAAAUCAUGGGACAAA